rnacentral:lncRNA from 1 species
AUUGGAUACACCUACGUAUAUAGAUACAGUACUAACAGAUUGUAAUGCACAAUGCGGUGCCUCCGUCGAUCAGCCGUCAGCCUAAAAUAAUCUCUCGUACAUCAGACGGAGCUGAUGGAAGAGUAAGUCUAAGUGCUAACUGAAUGGAGAUUGCAGUGGUAUUCCGUUAUUCCCAUUCCUUGCAAAAGAACUACACAUGGCAAUAUACUUGACCAACCAGUAACUACUCUGUACGUCCUGAAGUCCCGUCGUAGUAAGUGGAAGAAAGAUCGUGCUACGGGGUGGCCUGGGUACGAGAUGGUAAUUACAUUAAUACCGCGUUAGUUCUCCGUAGUAUUAUUAUUGCUCGUACUCCUCCCCUCAACGGAGUUCAACGCCCGAGUAAAAGCCCGAUCCAGCCCAGUCCGUUCAAAGCAUCCCUACAUAACCGUGUAACACGACGUAUAUUACCCUUCCGCGGAGCUUGUCGUAGCUAUCCUGACCGAGGAUGUGUCUCAUGUGUAGUGGUUGUUUAAUUGUAGUAUAUAAUUAACUCUGAAGAUGUACGCAUUUCCACUUAGAAAAUUGUCACGAUAUGCUUUAAGUUCUGAGUGCUCCUAGUACUGAUAGUAAGACUGCGUUGCAGCAAGGUGCCGCUCCACUUGACAAGAGCUAGCCGUCGCUAGUUAUCUCGUCAGAGCGCAGU